CAGGGCUAGGGCCCCAACUUUGUCUUUCAGCAAACUUCCAGCAAACAAAAUCCUCUCGCUUCCCCUCUUUGAUGAAUCCUUGCUUCACGGCGGUUCCUGAAGUUACAACAGUACAUGGGACCAUUAGUCCAAUCACCAACUAUCAACUCAAGCUGGAGGAAGACAAAUGAAGCUUUCUCCCUUUUUCCCUACACAACUUUAACACCACAAUUACAGACGUACACAUCAAGAUAUUCCCUGGGACCCAAACCUGAAGCCCCUGGGCUGCCCUUCCUCAGCGGGGCUGACUGGAGCAGUUACUGAUGGCACCAGCUUAAAGAGGAAAUGGAGAGUGUGUUUGCGUGUUUUCUGCCAUGAAAUAGGCAUCCUGAGACAAUCUCUUCAUAACUGAUGUAGCCCAGCCCUCUGUACUGAAAUUGCUGGACUCACACGAGGCCCAGAUGUGGUUUAAAGAGCAUGUGGGGGAAAUUUCCGUAGGAGCAACACAGAUCUCUCUAUUCAGAGUUUUUCUUGUGGGCAGCUUGCAUUUACUCAUUCUUUCAUUCCAGAAGUAUUUAUUUAGCCCCUGCUAUGUGCCAGGCAUUGUGAUAAUAGUUGGAAUGCAGAGGUGAAUUAAAGAGUAUGGGCUUGUCUAUAUAAAUAAAUAAAUAUAUAUGUAUAUGUGUGUGUAUA
rnacentral:lncRNA from 1 species